UGUGAGCUCGAUGAGUAGGGCGGGACACGUGGUAUCCUGUCUGAAUAUGGGGGGACCAUCCUCCAAGGCUAAAUACUCCUGACUGACCGAUAGUGAACCAGUACCGUGAGGGAAAGGCGAAAAGAACCCCGGCGAGGGGAGUGAAAAAGAACCUGAAACCGUGUACGUACAAGCAGUGGGAGCACGCUUAGGCGUGUGACUGCGUACCUUUUGUAUAAUGGGUCAGCGACUUAUAUUCUGUAGCAAGGUUAACCGAAUAGGGGAGCCGAAGGGAAACCGAGUCUUAACUGGGCGUUAAGUUGCAGGGUAUAGACCCGAAACCCGGUGAUCUAGCCAUGGGCAGGUUGAAGGUUGGGUAACACUAACUGGAGGACCGAACCGACUAAUGUUGAAAAAUUAGCGGAUGACUUGUGGCUGGGGGUGAAAGGCCAAUCAAACCGGGAGAUAGCUGGUUCUCCCCGAAAGCUAUUUAGGUAGCGCCUCGUGAAUUCAUCUCCGGGGGUAGAGCACUGUUUCGGCAAGGGGGUCAUCCCGACUUACCAACCCGAUGCAAACUGCGAAUACCGGAGAAUGUUAUCACGGGAGACACACGGCGGGUGCUAACGUCCGUCGUGAAGAGGGAAACAACCCAGACCGCCAGCUAAGGUCCCAAAGUCAUGGUUAAGUGGGAAACGAUGUGGGAAGGCCCAGACAGCCAGGAUGUUGGCUUAGAAGCAGCCAUCAUUUAAAGAAAGCGUAAUAGCUCACUGGUCGAGUCGGCCUGCGCGGAAGAUGUAACGGGGCUAAACCAUGCACCGAAGCUGCGGCAGCGACGCUUAUGCGUUGUUGGGUAGGGGAGCGUUCUGUAAGCCUGUGAAGGUGUACUGUGAGGUAUGCUGGAGGUAUCAGAAGUGCGAAUGCUGACAUAAGUAACGAUAAAGCGGGUGAAAAGCCCGCUCGCCGGAAGACCAAGGGUUCCUGUCCAACGUUAAUCGGGGCAGGGUGAGUCGACCCCUAAGGCGAGGCCGAAAGGCGUAGUCGAUGGGAAACAGGUUAAUAUUCCUGUACUUGGUGUUACUGCGAAGGGGGGACGGAGAAGGCUAUGUUGGCCGGGCGACGGUUGUCCCGGUUUAAGCGUGUAGGCUGGUUUUCCAGGCAAAUCCGGAAAAUCAAGGCUGAGGCGUGAUGACGAGGCACUACGGUGCUGAAGCAACAAAUGCCCUGCUUCCAGGAAAAGCCUCUAAGCAUCAGGUAACAUCAAAUCGUACCCCAAACCGACACAGGUGGUCAGGUAGAGAAUACCAAGGCGCUUGAGAGAACUCGGGUGAAGGAACUAGGCAAAAUGGUGCCGUAACUUCGGGAGAAGGCACGCUGAUAUGUAGGUGAAGUCCCUCGCGGAUGGAGCUGAAAUCAGUCGAAGAUACCAGCUGGCUGCAACUGUUUAUUAAAAACACAGCACUGUGCAAACACGAAAGUGGACGUAUACGGUGUGACGCCUGCCCGGUGCCGGAAGGUUAAUUGAUGGGGUUAGCGCAAGCGAAGCUCUUGAUCGAAGCCCCGGUAAACGGCGGCCGUAACUAUAACGGUCCUAAGGUAGCGAAAUUCCUUGUCGGGUAAGUUCCGACCUGCACGAAUGGCGUAAUGAUGGCCAGGCUGUCUCCACCCGAGACUCAGUGAAAUUGAACUCGCUGUGAAGAUGCAGUGUACCCGCGGCAAGACGGAAAGACCCCGUGAACCUUUACUAUAGCUUGACACUGAACAUUGAGCCUUGAUGUGUAGGAUAGGUGGGAGGCUUUGAAGUGUGGACGCCAGUCUGCAUGGAGCCG
rnacentral:rRNA from 1 species